rnacentral:rRNA from 1 species
AGCAUGUGGUUUAAUUCGAAGCAACGCGAAGAACCUUACCAGGUCUUGUACAUCCUUUUGAAUGGUCUAGAGAUAGAUCAGGCCUUCGGGACAGAAGAGACAGGUGGUGCAUGGUUGUCGUCAGCUCGUGUCGUGAGAUGUUGGGUUAAGUCCCGCAACGAGCGCAACCCUUAUCAUUAGUUGCUAACAUUCAGUUGAGAACUCUAAUGAGACUGCCAGUGAUAAACUGGAGGAAGGUGGGAUGACGUCAAAUCAUCAUGCCCCUUAUGACCUGGGCUACACACGUGCUACAAUGGCCGGUACAAAGAGUUGCGAAACUGUGAAGUUAAGCUAAUCUCAUAAAGCCGGUCUCAGUUCGGAUUGUAGUCUGCAACUCGACUACAUGAAGUCGGAAUCGCUAGUAAUCGCAGAUCAGCACGCUGCGGUGAAUAAGUUCUCGGGUUUU